ensembl:snoRNA
AGGUCAUUUCAAAGAGGGUUUGCAUGGCUGAAACCAGCAGCUCUUAACGCAAUGACCUAAUAUUGAAAUCCUCUGCAGGAUGCCAUGAGCACAUAGUGUGCUAUGUGGCCUAUUUCUGAGGAGAUAUAGUG